rnacentral:siRNA from 1 species
UACAAUGGUUCGGAUGGUUAGA